rnacentral:tRNA from 1 species
GGGGCUGUAGCUCAGUUGGGAGAGCGCUUGAAUGGCAUUCAAGAGGUCGUCGGUUCGAGCCCGAUCAGCUCCA